UCUGACAGUCUUCAUAGGAGAGCUGAUCUCAGAUCAGUUUAGCUUAUUAUAUCAUAUUGAUACUGCUGUAAACCUGUGACAGUCUUCAUAGGAGAGCUGAUCUCGGAUCAGUUUAGCUUAUUAUAUCAUAUUGAUACUGCUGUAAACCUGUGACAGUCUUCAUAGGAGAGCUGAUCUCAGAUCAGUUUAGCUGUUUAUAUCAUAUUGAUACUCCUGUAAAGUCAGGUUACAGCAGGUGUUUACUGCCAUCUAGUGGAAGAUAUUUUAUUUUUAUUUCACUUUUAUUUAACUAGGUAAGUCAGAACAAAUUCUUAUUAACAAUGACGGCCUACCCCGGCCAAACCUUGACGACGCUGUGCCAAUUGUGCGCCGCCCUAUGGGACUCCCAGUCAUGCAGCCUGGACUCUAACCAGGUACUGCAGUGACGCAAGAGGCGGGACUCUGCACCACUCGGGAGGCGGCUGAGCUGAAACAGAAAGUAAAGUUGUUCUUUUGUACAGGAUCCAUUUUGAGACGACAGAGCAGAAAACACUAUAUGGAGACUAUUGAAAAAUGAAGUAAGUAUUUCUGAACAUUAAUUUAUUCUAAAGGACAGAGUAAGAGAAUGAAUACCUGGAAUGAGAUAUUACUAGUUAGAACUGCUACUUGAGCGGAGUUGCUGACAGACAGCAGUUUUCAAAGUGGAAACUAAUCAGUAGGUCUACAUGUUAUCAGUAAAACGUCUGGUAAAGAUGGUGGAGGAGCUUUUACAUUAUAUGGUUUAAUGUUUAUCUCAGGGUUUCUCAAUCCUUUAGUUAUUAUCCAGCACUUACACACCUGAUUCAACUAGUCAUCAAAUAUUUUAAGACAGUUUAAUAUUUGAGGCAUACAAAUUAACAUUCUCAAAUGAAAACCUUUUGGGUUUGGUAGGUCUGUUAACAAUUAUUAUAGUCCUACAGUAACUCAUAUGUUGGAGAUUAAAAAAACACACAACUAAACCUGGUUUCGAGUAAAUGAUAAGUUUAGCUUAAAUAAUGUAAGAGAGAUGUCUCAAAGAAGGACUAUAAAAAAAAAUGUAAGCAAGAUUCGGUACAAUGUCACGAGUUACUGAUGUCACAUGCAACUGACUGUUAGCGCCACCCUCUGGUUAAUAUUGUUAUAUAAAGUGAAAGUAAGGGUGUAGUCUACGCCGUUACAAACUGACUGUAGAAACUGUAGCGCACAUUUCUCUGCAACAUUAGAAGCAGGAUAAAUGUGUUGAUUUGAAGGACAGACGGACAGACUCUGGUAAGUCUUGGCUACAUAUAACUAUUAUAAAGUUAGGUCGUAGUCAGACAUUCAAUAGACAGAGUAGGCUUGAGAUAUGAUUCUUUAUCAUGCUGACCAACCUGGGCCCGGUUUCCGCGAUAGAAUUUAGACUUAACGCUGGAAACGCAUAAUAAGUGGUAAAUGAUAAUUAACAAAAUACAGUGUUGAGGAAACGCUAUUUUACAAAUAAAAGGUGCGUAAGUGCGUUUACGUGGGUUUACCCUCCACCACAUCCCCGUUGAUGCGGUGUGCAGCGUAGAGUGCAUAGUCAUUCAGUCUCUAUGGGCCAGAUGGUGAGGGCCACAGCAUAGUCCUUUAGUCUCUAUGGGAAAAUAAACUGUUCAGAUGGGGGUCUAUAACAUCCAAUCACAUACUCCUCAAGAUGAGGCUCAUGAUUGAUAAGUUAUAUACCUUUUAAUCUUUACAUAUAUUGUCUUUAUUUAAACCAAGGUAGUUUGAGUUAGUAGCGAUGAAGUAGCAACUGUCAGCUGCUGUAAACCUGUGACAGUAUUCAUAGGAGAGCUGAUCUCGGAUCAGUUUAGCUUAUUAUAUCAUAUUGAUACUGCUGUAAACCUGUGACAGUCUUCAUAGGAGAGCUGAUCUCGGAUCAGUUUAGCUUAUUAUAUCAUAUUGAUACUGCUGUAAACCUGUGACAGUCUUCAUAAGAGAGCUGAUCUCAGAUCAGUUUAGCUGUUUAUAUCAUAUUGAUACUCCUGUAAAGUCAGGUUACAGCAGGUGUUUACUGCCAUCUAGUGGAAGAUAUUUUAUUUUUAUUUCACUUUUAUUUAACUAGGUAAGUCAGAACAAAUUCUUAUUAACAAUGACGGCCUACCCCGGCCAAACCUUGACGACGCUGUGCCAAUUGUGCGCCGCCCUAUGGAACUCCCAGUCAUGCAGCCUGGACUCUAACCAGGUACUGCAGUGACGCAAGAGGCGGGACUCUGCACCACUCGGGAGGCGGCUGAGCUGAAACAGAAAGUAAAGUUGUUCUUUUGUUCAGGAUCCAUUUUGAGACGACAGAGCAGAAAACACUAUAUGGAGAUUAUUGAAAAAUAAAGGGUCAGUGCUCUAAAAUGAGUCUCUCUGGGGAGAGAGAUGAGGGGGGCCCUGCCUCUAAAAUACAUCUCUCUGGGGGACAUGACACCAAAGCUAAGAGACCAAUCAAGCAGGAGAGACCAGCCUCCCCUGUAUCCAGCUGUGUGUCCAUGAAGAGUGAUAAGUCUAUGUAUCGACCUAUAAUGUUUAGAGAGGGAGACUUUUCUACUGAACAAAGCCCAAUCAAGCAGGAGAGACCAGCCUCCCCUGUACCCAGCUGUGUGUCCAUGAAGAGUGACCAG